ensembl:lncRNA
UUGUGUGUUUGUGUGUAUUUUAAUCAACAUUUCUUCAAAGGAAUGUAUUAGUUGUUUAACCCUUUUAAAGGCAUGUUUGCAGAAGGGAAAACAAGAGAGGGAUCGUGAGGGGGGAAGAUGGAGGGAUGGACACGGAAAAGAAAACAGCACACACAAACAUGGUGGUUUACAAACGUCUGAACACAUCACUGGAGAGGAAUGGAGGUCUUUAAAGUGGCCGCCACCCGCUGGCUAUUGGCACAGAGAAACACGUACACACAACUGAAGCGUUCUCUAAAAAAAUACACACUUUGUGGUUUGUCCCCGCUUGUGUCUGCGUACAGAAUACUGGUCCCAGCGUUUAUGGUGAAAGCAAGUGCACAAAGAACUGCUCGAUGUGAAAGAUAGAAGAUGGACCUUUCUGAGGCCAGAUGUUCGAUAAACGAGACCUAAAAAAGGGAGGAUGGUGAGAAGAGAGAGUUUGUGUCUCCUCGUGUGUCCGAACGCAACAGCACACCCUCUGCGUCGGUCCGUCUUUGAACGAUGUCCACGUGUGUUUCGGACAUACGCACACCUGCACGCACACACACAUAUCCAAGUCCAUGUGCACAAGGUCAGAGACAUGGCUUACGCUGAUUGAUUUAGUAAAUGCAACAGAAUUUGAACAGAAAUCGAACGCUUAAAUAUGUAUGAAACAGCCCACAAAUACAACAGCGCCGAACAAACGUAACACCUCCACAUUUUAGGCAACUUGAUAUUGAAGUAACAAAAUCCAAAUUGGCAUGUAAGAAGAAAACAUCAAUGUGACAGAAAACAAUGUCAUGUUUCUUUUUUUCUCACAGUCUUGACGCACCGGAGUGAUACAAAACUAAAUGCUUUUGAGAGACAAAUAUUGAAGCUUUCUAGGCAGAUUGAACACAAUAACAGACAGAUUGUUCAAGUCCCAAUGUCAGGCACAAAUCACAUCUGCAUAAUAAAAAUAAGAUCACCAACAUAUUUGGGUAUGAAUGGCUUGUUAUUAUGUAAGUGUAUGCGGUGUAUUUCUUAGCAAUAACAUUCUUUUACACGCAUACAAAACACACUGUGACAAUGGCAGUGAUUUAAAACAAAAUUAGAACUCCGAAGGCCAGAAAUAUUCUAUGCAAGUAUGUGGACGCAAAUGUUUUGUCAACAUAGCAAGUGUAAGAUCGAAUGUGACUUGCUAAGUUUCGCUUUUUUGGAAUAGUAUACUAGCUUACUACUUUUGCUACGGCACUCUGCACAUUAUAUGUGGAGGGAAAAAACUGAAAACAGAUUAAGAAAUCCUUCCUAUGACUAAUUUGUGAUCACGUUUUAUUCAGUCAUUCCCUAGUUUUUCUUAAAAAAUG